rnacentral:misc_RNA from 1 species
AAGUCGUAACAAGGUUUCCGUAGGUGAACCUGCGGAAGGAUCAUUAGUGAAUAAACAAGUGUAGGUUGUGCUGGCCUUCUUGGUAUGUGCACGCCUGCUAAAGUUUCAUUCUAUCUUCCCACCUGUGCACUUUGUGUAGAUUCUGUAUACUAUUGUCAGGCUCUUUGACUGAGCUUGGUUGAGAGAAGUUGCUUGUUCUAUUGGACAGGCUCUUCUUGGGUAUGCAGGUCUAUGUUUUAUAUCAACACCAUAUGAAUGUAAUAGAAUGUGCUUUGGGCUUUUUAGCCUUUAAAAACAUAUACAA